AAGAAAUUAGUUAACUAAUAAUAUUAGCUUGUCAUGCUAAAGUUAUCAUCAUUGAUAUUUCUUU
rnacentral:tRNA from 1 species